rnacentral:rRNA from 1 species
UACGUAGGGUGCGAGCGUUAAUCGGAAUUACUGGGCGUAAAGUGUGCGCAGGCGGCCGAGCAAGUCGAGUGUGAAAGCCCCGGGCUUAACUUGGGAAUUGCGCUCGAAACUACUUGGCUGGAGUGUGGCAGAGGAAGGUGGAAUUCCAGGUGUAGCGGUGAAAUGCGUAGAGAUCUGGAGGAACACCGAUGGCGAAGGCAGCCUUCUGGGCCAACACUGACGCUGAGGAGCGAAAGCGUGGGGAGCGAACAGG